rnacentral:rRNA from 1 species
UACGUAGGGUGCAAGCGUCAAUCGGAAUUACUGGGCGUAAAGCGUGCGCAGGCGGUUCGCUAAGACCGAUGUGAAAUCCCCGGGCUUAACCUGGGAACUGCAUUGGUGACUGGCGGGCUAGAGUAUGGCAGAGGGGGGUAGAAUUCCACGUGUAGCAGUGAAAUGCGUAGAGAUGUGGAGGAAUACCGAUGGCGAAGGCAGCCCCCUGGGCCAAUACUGACGCUCAUGCACGAAAGCGUGGGGAGCAAACAGG